AGGCCUUUUUGUUACUUUUGCUUCUUCAGCUAGGGUUUGCCGCCACCAUGUUACCCUCUCUCUCUCUCUCUCUCUCUCUCUUCAUUGUCAUCAUCGAUGAAAGUAGUAAGUUUUCAGGUGAAGAACCUUUUUGCCAGGUUGUGUUCAACCAUUUGAGGCAAAGGCAUUAAAUGCCUUCAUCUUCUCUCCUCUCCCCUACCGUGAAACCACCAUGGAAAUGUUGUGGGUGAAGGAAUUUGAAGAAUCUUCAAAUCCAAUACUCGAUUUAGGCUGCACACGAGAAAGAGGCCCAACACUUUUAUUUGAUCGAGUCUGAGAGAUAGAAAGGGAAGAAACUAUGAUGAAGGCCCAUCCAUGGGUGAAAAUGGAGGCGGGCGGGUUUGGUAGGCCCACCAGCUUAAUUUUCUUCCUUUUCAUUUAUGUGUAUAUGUUAUCUAUGUAUAUGUGUUGUAUAUGUAAACAAACUAUGUGAAAUAUUGAAACCCUUAUAUAUGUUAGAACUUAGGAAAAUGCUUAGUAUUUUAGGAAAGUCGACCUAAAAAACCAUUUUUU